rnacentral:lncRNA from 1 species
UAUAAAUAGUACUUCAUAUCACUCACUUUAUAGUCCAAGACAGUAGCACUACAGUCUACUCAGAGUCGAUUCAAUUGCGCACGUUGAGCUGAGUAUUGUUCUCCUAGUUGUCCCAAAACUUUUGGUCAUCGUUUGAAGAUCAUGGCCUCGACAAUCCUGAUGCACUCGGUCCCUGUGAGUCCUAGGACUGUGGUCGACAUUAGUUCCAGGAAAUCUGUUGUGAGAGGGCUCUUCCCUGCCAGCAAUAGUCCUAGACUGUCUCCUCGAGGUGGCUUGCAUGUGAGGUGUAUGGCUAAGGUAAAGUAGCAGAUUUUCGAAAAAUCUUGCCUAAAACAUCAACGAUGUGAUGUUGGGAAGUUUAUUGAAUUAACAUUGUUACGUGAUGAAUGUUUCAGGAGAGCAAGCCGGAUCUGAACCCAUCCAAAUCAAAGGUAUAUUUAUGCUUGUGGGCCUUCUAGCACAUGAAUAAGAGUUUUGGAAAGGCCUUACUUAUGCACGGAGCCUUUAUUUACUUAAAGAGAUUAAACAUUAGUAUUGAAGUUUCCAAAGGAUAAGUCUUGUCAAAGAAAUUGAACUGGUGAUACUCUGCUGAUUGAAUUUUGAUGAAGUAAGAUAGUCACUCAUUCUAAUAACUACUCCUUGCAUAUGCUAACGUUGAUCAUGUUGACAGGUUAGCACCGACUUCACAGAUGUGUUUGCAUUCAGUGGACCGGCACCAGAGAGGAUCAAUGGCAGACUCGCAAUGAUAGGCUUUGUGGCGGCCAUUGCGGUCGAACUGUCUAAAGGCCAGGACUUGUCUGCUCAGAUCAGUGGAGGUGGUAUCCCGUGGUUCAUAGGAACGAGCAUUCUGCUCUCAGUUGCAUCUCUUGUUCCGCUGCUUCAAGGAGUCACGGCCGAGUCAAAGUCUGACGGGUUGAUGACUUCUGAUGCUGAGUUGUGGAACGGAAGGUUUGCAAUGUUGGGACUAAUUGCGUUAGCCUUCACUGAAUAUGUUAAGGGAGGAAUACUUGUGUAGGGUUUUGGAAUUAUACACUCGUGUAAGUAGUUCAGAAUGUAAUCCUCAGAAGCAUAAUAUAAAGUGAAGCAUUGUCUCAAUACAAAUACUGUGCCCCAUGCCAUCUUGGUUUAAAUCUUAAAUUAGAGUUUGCUAUACUAUAAAUCAUUCUCUCAAAGGACAUUUCAUUGGAUCAUUCAACGUGGAGUAUACUUUGAAGAAAACUCCCUCCUUCAGAAAAAACCUCGAUUCGCUUGAAGUGGAAGUAGAGAAGCGUCGCUUGAUAUAUGAGAUGGUAAUUGCAGAUUAAUAAGACACAAGUACCUUUACCAAUGAGAUUUGGAUGAAACUCAGACGACAAUGGGUGAACAAAGAACAUACCUAAAUCAGAAAGAUCCCAGGCAUUUCAGAUGUAAAUAAACUAAAGCAACAAUAACAAAGAAGGAUUGAGUGAAUUCGGAUCGUCCUUUGAUGAGGAAGUUCCGAAUUCUCAAAGCAACAGAUUUUGCAAACAAAACUAAACCAAAGUUCGGUCUGCACCCUUCCAAGUAAAAUGGUGGAAAUCGACCAACUCAGCAACAAGACAUCUGGAGAAUGUUGAGUGCAAUCACUUAUUGGAAUACUAAUCACAGCUUCUUUCUGCCUUUCCUUUUUGACCGUCCAGAGGUCGAUGGUAUGAUUUCAUGGACCCAGAUUUAUUUCACUUCCAUCAGAUACGUAGCAAUCGAUCGAUUAAUUAACCCACAGCAAAAUAUAUCCUUCAGAUAAACCACUCAAAUCAUGAUGGAACUAUUACAACCAAUAGAUUUCUAUCCCAUAGCACAUCUAAAAACUGCAUUGUCCGACAAAACAACAUCGGAGAAGGAUCUGACCUAAGAGGACAACGUUUGCUUUUAAGAACUGCAAUCUGGGGCAGGCAAUGGCGGACAUAAAGCUUGGUGGUUUGCCUCCUUUUUACAGGCUUUGAACAUCUCCUCUUUCAAUUACAACUAGCCUCUUUACCUAAUCAUGUAAUCGAUUAUUUAAGUAAACAAAUGAUGUGGAUAAACAAAACCAAAAUGCAGUAACUGAUUCAUUACUUGUCGCAACAUUCCCCUAACGGUAGGGGUGUUCCAUCUCAUAAGAGUUCAGUUACCCUUGCGAAGCCGCGACCCCUCCUAUGCACACUGAAAAUGUAAUAGAUGGGCUUUAAAAAUAAAAAAAAUAAAAUAAAAGGAAAAGAAAGAGUUUGAAAAGUAAAAAAAAAAAGGAAGCUCAAGGAUAUUUGUGGAAUCUUCGGCUAUGCUUUAAAAAGAGGGAGAGAGAGAGAGAGAAAGAAGAGCACGGGCAGAAAGAAACGGGAGAGGAGAGAAAGGAGAGAAAGGAAAAGAAAAAAAAAAUUGGCGCACUUGUGAUCCGGACGCCUCAUCAAACCGACUCAAGUGUGUUUAGCAACGCUAGUAAGAAAUUGAAGUCUUUAAUCACCUACUUAAAGCAAUCGCUGCAAUUAGGGCUCGAAAUUCGGAUUUCUUGGAUAUUUGUGUGGCGAAGCCCCAUUUUUGAGUCGUCGAGAUGGUACUUUGGAUGUUGUGAAGCUAUAGCAUCUUUCGGAUCGUAAUUUGAGCUUGUGGUUUGUCCGAAACGGAAUUUUGAAGUUGAUGGCGCAUUCUGGUAUUGUAGGGAACAGUAGCUUUGAGCCUUUUUUUUUGUUAUUUUUGGUACUGUUUUGGGUCCUCUGAGUUGGGGUUGUUGUUGUACAUUAAGAGAGCUUUCGAAAGACUAUAAGACGAUUUGAAAUGGAAUUUUGUGGAGGGAGUUAUGGCGUGAUGAAGUUGGUGCAUGGGCUGCACCUAGCGGGAAAUGAUGGGUUUUCGAUAAAUGAGAGCUUUUGUGGCGCAUAGGUGUCGUUUUAUCGACAAAUAGGCCUAGUAUAGACAAGUCGUUAUGCGAAUAUCCUUUUUACUCGGCCUUUUGAUAUUGUUUUUCCAUUAAUUGUUAGGAAUCCGAAUGUGUUGGUUCGAGUGAGCAUCGUAGUUGAUUUUUGGUUUUUCCCAAGUGAGUGACACUAUUUCUUCUUUGUAUUUUAAACUCAUGUUUUGAGAAACGUGAUGGAUUAUAUAUUCCAUGAGUUGAUAAAAAACAUAUUUUGUUGCAUAAAAUAAGAUCGAGCUAUUACUACUAUUUUUGUUGUUCGAAGGGAGUUAUAUUCCGACUUCGAUUUGAAUGGUUGUUUGAAAGAUGAUUUUUGAAAUUCUUUGUGAGAGAAUCUUGAAAUGUUUUGGUGAAUGCUUUGAUAUUUAUAUAUCAAAUUUUGAGUUGUGAUGUAACUUCAUUUCUAACAUUGGAUUACUGGAUAUUGUAAUUGGUGGUUGGUGCUCAAUGUCUAUGUGGACCCUGAGGGGUGUGGGUAUGCGCAUACUAUUCUAGGAUAUCCUUGUGGGCCGAGCCACCGGCUAAUAAUAGGUGGAGACCUUGCCAAUAGGGGAAUGUUGGUCGUCUUGUCACGGGCGUUACGCGUGACCAUGGUUAGACAUUUGAGCAUGAAUUGGUCAAUGGGGUGGACCAUUGACGUGUGAUUUGAGUUUGGUCGAUGGAAUGGACCAUCGAUGUGAUUUGAUGAGAUUAAUUAAUGGAAUAGACCAUUGAUGCAUGUUUUAUGAGAUUGACUAAUGGAUUGGACUAUUGGUAUCUUCAGUAUUUGAGUUAUGAUUAUAUAUUUGAGCUAUGUUUUAAAUGUGCAUAGUGAUUUCUCGAUCCGCUUAGAAGAAAUGUGUUACUCCGUGGUAGCUCACUCCUCUCUUAUACUUGUUUUUCAAGUUUUUCAGCAAGUUGCGAGUAAGCGUGAACGUUCGCUCGGGGAGGACUUUUGUGGUGGAAACUUUUUUGUAUGACUUGUGCAUAGUUAAUAUAAGUUAGUCUUUGUAGAAGAUUUUUGUUUUGAUUUUUUUGUAGAUUAUAGAUAUACUAUGAUAUUAUAACCAAGUGCCCCUUUUUUGUCAAAUAUAUAUAUGUGUGUGUGUGUGUGUGUGUGUGUGUGUGUGUGUGUGGAUGUAUAUAUGUUGAUAUCGGGUUAAAUUUUGGUUACAUUGAGGCUGUCUUUGGUAAAAGGAUGGCCGUGUCAUGCCCCUUCUUCUUGUGAAUCGGGGUGUGACAUAAGAGGUCUUCGGGAAUGCUCCUAACCAGUGUUAUGUACAAGUUGGGACUCCAUGGGAUCGGCAGGCAAGCCUUGUAAGUUUUGAAGGCAUUCAUGCUUCCCCCUUUCUCAGCGACACUAGAAGCGAGGACAUCAGAACUAGCUUUUUCCAUGACAAACUGCAGACAGCGAUGGAUGGACAACUACAAUAAGCACACGCAAUGUGAAAAAUUGGUUUAACUAAAUCAGUUGCAAUUGGUAAGAUAGGUGGGAGAACUCAAGAAGCCGGUGGAGGGAGGGAAUAUGAAGUACAUUGGUUUGUCAGAAGCUAGCAUUGAUACGGUAAAGAGAGUUAAUGCUAUUCAUCCAAACCCAGCUGUGCAGAUGGAGUAUUCUCUGUGGACUUGCGGAAUUGAGGAUGAAUUAAUUCCACUUUGCAGCUCCACUCCUAUUAUCUUCAAGAUGUGUGGCAAUUUUUACAGGACUUUCAAUUUCGGAGAACUGUGAAGAGAGUGCCGUGUUGCGCUUGAGCUGUGAAGUCGGGGCAUGUCGUCUUCAUCGAAUCGCACCAAAGGACGUCGGUACUUGAAAGUUCUCUGUCCGGUCCAAUUUGUUCUUUACCAAACUCGAAAACCUCGAACUACGUCGCUCUUCUCUUGGCCUUACGUUCGGAAGCCAACAAGAACUGAAGUUCACAAACCAUUUUGUCCGUUGUUUUGUUCAGGGCUAUUUGAAGGCCCACGUCGUCACUUUCCCAUUAAACGGACGAGGUGAAACCAUUUAACCCCCUACGGACGUGCAUCGCGUGGAACCAACACCAUCCUUCAGUCUCUCCCUCCCUCUCUCUCUCUCUCCUCCCCGGCACUAUAUAAAUAGUACUUCGUAUCACUCACUCUAUAGUCCAAGACAGUAGCACUGCAGUCUACUCAGAAUCGAUUCUGUUCGCACGUUGAGCUGAGAAUUGUUCUCCUAGUUGUCCCAAAACUUUUGGUCAUCGUUUGAAGAUCAUGGCCUCGACAAUCCUGAUGCACUCGGUCCCUGUGAGUCCUAGGACCGUGGUCGACAUUAGUUCCAGGAAAUCUGUUGUGAGAGGGCUCUUCCCUGCCAGCAAUAGUCCUAGAUUGUCUCC